GUAGUAAUACAUGUAGCUGACUGUUACUAAUAGAUCGAAGGCUUAACCAAGAA
rnacentral:rRNA from 1 species